UACGGAGGGUGCAAGCGUUAAUCGGAAUUACUGGGCGUAAAGCGCGUGUAGGCGGCUUUGCAAGUCGGGUGUGAAAGCCCUCAGCUCAACUGAGGAAGUGCGCCCGAAACUGCAGAGCUUGAGUACCGGAGAGGGUGGCGGAAUUCCCCAAGUAGAGGUGAAAUUCGUAGAUAUGGGGAGGAACACCGGUGGCGAAGGCGGCCACCUGGACGGUCACUGACGCUGAGACGCGAAAGCGUGGGGAGCAAACAGG
rnacentral:rRNA from 1 species